rnacentral:misc_RNA from 1 species
UCUCCGUUGGUGAACCAGCGGAGGGAUCAUUACAGAGUUGCAAAACUCCCAAACCAUUGUGAACGUUACCUAUCCCGUUGCUUCGGCGGGCGGCCCGGGCCCCGCGCCCGGCGCCCCCCGGCCCCCCGUGGCCGCCCGCCGGAGGUAAACCAAACCCUUGAAUUGCAUGGCCUCUCUGAGUCCUCUGUACUGAAUAAGUCAAAACUUUCAACAACGGAUCUCUUGGUUCUG